rnacentral:lncRNA from 1 species
UCUUCUCGUAGUGAGCUUUUUAAACUAUAUAAACUAUCACAUGUACUUUUAUCUAAAUUUUCUAAGGUUUUUUCUAUCCAUACUAAUUUUUCUUUUAGGUCUUCCAUUAUUUUUCUAAUUCGAUUUCUAUAAUUAAUUUCAUUAUUUAGAUUUUCUUGAUUUUCUCUAGUUUGUCUAAUAUAUUCUAACAUUUUUUAAUCUGAAUAAUAUCCUUCUGGGUAAAUUUCCUCGUAUAACUGUUCUAGACAAUUUGUAGUUUCAA